rnacentral:rRNA from 1 species
UACGUAGGGGGCUAGCGUUGUCCGGAUUUACUGGGCGUAAAGAGCGCGCAGGCGGUCGUUCAAGUCGAGUGUGAAAGCCCCCGGCUCAACUGGGGAGGGUCACUCGAUACUGAUCGACUCGAAGGCAGAAGAGGGAAGCGGAAUUCCCGGUGUAGUGGUGAAAUGCGUAGAUAUCAGGAGGAACACCUGCGGUGUAGACGGCUUACUGGACCAUCACUGACGCUGAGGCACGAAAGCGUGGGUAGCAAACAGG